rnacentral:lncRNA from 1 species
UUUUAAAAGCCUUUUUGUAACGAAUACAAAUUUAAAAAUCAGAGUUGCGGAAAACGUGCCUUUUUUUUUUGAAUUCAAGCAGGCCCACGUGACGUACAGACCCGCCAUAAAUACAAAAUUCCUCUGACCACUCGGACAGAGUCUACUUUGUAUUUGCACGGCGUACCAACAAUAACAUCAGAAUCACAACAACAACCUAUAUUUACUAAUCCACCACAAUCAAUUCAUGCCAUGCAUUCUCAUACAACUAGUGAUCCUUAAAGAUGAUGCAUACCUCUAAACACUCCUUAGGCGCUAGAUGAUGUGAGCACAGUACAACAAUCAUUCUAUUUAAAAGUGCUCCCCACCCGAAAGCUUUAUUUUUAAACUCUACCCAAUCAUUGAUAAAAGCAUUCGAAAAUUCUUUUAAAACAGUUUCUCACUCGGAAACUCUAUUUUGAAAACCGACUACCUCGAGGGAUA